rnacentral:other from 2 species
CCAGGACUGCCACGUUGGUGACUGCCAAAUAUGUUUGUUGAUCUAUAGUCGACGUAUUAGGGAGCCGACGGGAGUCUUGUGGCAGUAGGCCGGGCUUUGGCUACCCGGAAACGAAAGCAGGACAGUUGGCGCCCACCUGGUGUUCUGAGGUCAAAAACUGAGGCAAAACGGCGUGGCGGUUCAACU